rnacentral:rRNA from 1 species
AUUGAACGCUGGCGGCAGGCCUAACACAUGCAAGUCGAGCGGAUGAGGGAAGCUUGCUUCCCGAUUUAGCGGCGGACGGGUGAGUAAUGCCUAGGAAUCUGCCUAUUAGUGGGGGAUAACGUUCCGAAAGGAACGCUAAUACCGCAUACGUCCUACGGGAGAAAGUGGGGGAUCUUCGGACCUCACGCUAACAGAUGAGCCUAGGUCGGAUUAGCUAGUAGGUGAGGUAAUGGCUCACCUAGGCGACGAUCCGUAACUGGUCUGAGAGGAUGAUCAGUCACACUGGAACUGAGACACGGUCCAGACUCCUACGGGAGGCAGCAGUGGGGAAUAUUGGACAAUGGGCGAAAGCCUGAUCCAGCCAUGCCGCGUGUGUGAAGAAGGUCUUCGGAUUGUAAAGCACUUUAAGUUGGGAGGAAGGGUUGUAAGCUAAUAUCUUGCAGCUUUGACGUUACCAACAGAAUAAGCACCGGCUAACUCUGUGCCAGCAGCCGCAGUAACAC